GAUGAACGCCGGCGGCGUGCCUAAUACAUGCAAGUCGAGCGAACAGACGAGGAGCUUGCUCCUCUGACGUUAGCGGCGGACGGGUGAGUAACACGUGGAUAACCUACCUAUAAGACUGGGAUAACUUCGGGAAACCGGAGCUAAUACCGGAUAAUAUAUUGAACCGCAUGGUCCAAUAGUGAAAGACGGUUUUGCUGUCACUUAUAGAUGGAUCCGCGCCGCAUUAGCUAGUUGGUAAGGUAACGGCUUACCAAGGCAACGAUGCGUAGCCGACCUGAGAGGGUGAUCGGCCACACUGGAACUGAGACACGGUCCAGACUCCUACGGGAGGCAGCAGUAGGGAAUCUUCCGCAAUGGGCGAAAGCCUGACGGAGCAACGCCGCGUGAGUGAUGAAGGUCUUCGGAUCGUAAAACUCUGUUAUUAGGGAAGAACAAAUGUGUAAGUAACUAUGCACGUCUUGACGGUACCUAAUCAGAAAGCCACGGCUAACUACGUG
rnacentral:rRNA from 1 species